rnacentral:rRNA from 1 species
UACGUAGGGUGCGAGCGUUAAUCGGAAUUACUGGGCGUAAAGCGUGCGCAGGCGGUUCGUUAUGUCCGAUGUGAAAGCCCCGAGCUCAACUUGGGAAUGGCAUUGGAAACUGGCGGGCUGGAGUGUGGCAGAGGGGGGUGGAAUUCCACGUGUAGCAGUGAAAUGCGUAGAGAUGUGGAGGAACACCGAUGGCGAAGGCAGCCCCCUGGGCCAACACUGACGCUGAGGAGCGAAAGCCAGGGGAGCAAACGGG